GUCCUGGUGGGAGACUAGGCCUGAGUCCUCCAGGUACCUGAAAACUUCCUUAAGCUGCAGUUGCUGUGCCGGCUUCCUAGGACAUUCAUCAGCUGGUCCUGUCACCCUGCCAGAACCCAUGAUAUUUGGCAGAUAGAAUCUUUGUACUCCAAGACUAUAGGAUAUGUAUUGGAAAUAGAUAUACUGUAUCUGGUUGUUAAAAAGAAGUCGAACUUCACCAAAGUGUCAGAUAUUGUGUUUGAUUGUAAUGGCUAAUGAAACACCAUUCAAAUCUAGGUCAUCAAUCAGGGUAGCCAUUAGCCAUUUAUCCUUGACUCUAGACCCAGGGAGAUAAGUUCUCAG
rnacentral:lncRNA from 1 species